CCAGCCAUUCCGUUGGCUGAAGCCGUCACCAUUGGCUCUGUCAGUAAUGGCAUUGUUCAAAAGCUGGUGAUAAAAGUAACCCUACUGGGAGGUUUAAACCGUGAGGUUAAAACCGAAACUGCAAGCUACAAUGCGGUUAGGGUG
rfam:Lachnospiraceae bacterium COE1 genomic scaffold acPFN-supercont1.1, whole genome shotgun sequence.